UUCACUCUCUUUCAGACUAAAUCUGCUUUAAUCAGUGUGCUAGCACCUUCUGUCAAACUCCCCGACUGCUUAAAGCAAUACAUUAUUCCUUCAGUUUCGGCAAAAGUUAAACCUUUGCCAGCCCCAAAACUGACUCUACGUGGAGGCUGUUGCCAAGUUGAUUUUUCUGGCUCAGCCGGGAGGCUGCUCCCUGGCUCUGUUCUAAAUUAAUAAGGCCAAUCAGAAAUGCACAAAGCCUGGACGGCCAAUCAUUCUUCUCGAGGCUUUUGCCAUCUCCUCCGCGGUCAGAUAAAUCAUGUUAAAGCCAUUCCACCGAUGACCAUAAAUUAGGGGGCCUGGCCGCCGUCCCUCCCAAGGACACCGCAGACUGAGAUUAUUCUGUCGGCCGCACUCGGCCCCCAAGGAGUAGCACUGCGAGGGUGGAGGGUCCUCCAGCGCGGGGGCGGGGGUGUAGGCCCCGAGUGAUUUCCUGCCACAGUGCCGGAGCGGGACUGGCGCUGCCUCCCGGGUCCAGGUUCCAGCCGCUCCCAGCUGUUGGCGGCGCUGCUGAGAUGAUGGCCUGGAUCCCCCAGGUUCCGGGACUCCCCAGGAGGCUUUCAUUCGUGUUGGAAUGGCAGCGAGAGGCUGCGGGCCAGGCGGCCGAAUGGGUCGUGCCCGAGCGACAGCGGCCGCCUGCGCCGCGACCUUGAGGGCAGAGGAGCGUGGGCGGCGUGCGGGGACAAAGGCGCGCGGGGAGCCUGGGUCACGGCUCUGCAGCAGACACGGGACCUCCACGUUUCUACCACCCCGGAAAGUUGAGCGCCUUGGGGGCUGCAUUUCUCCCUUUAUUGGUAGCUGGUUCGGCUCGCCCCUUUGCCCGACCACACGCUCUUUGUAAAUACAGAAUAGGACAAAACGGAAAGAGUGAUGUGCUGUCCCCUCCGUCUAAAACCCUAAGUAAAUACCCAGUCCUCCCCCAGACUCUUCUCCACCUGUGGUUCAGGUGUCUGGGAAGAAGGCCCUGCACGCCCGUCCGCGCCUCCCCUGCCCGGGGGAGCCCCGGGUAGGCAGUGGCCAAAGACUCUGUAGAACAACUCCCGGGAGGGCAGGCUCGCGGCUGCUCCUCCCGUUGGCAGCGCCUCAAACCCUGGCAGGCCCGCGUGUGUGCAUGUGAGCCUGCAUGUCCUGAGAAUCCCCCUGCAGCCUCGCACAUCUGGGUCCCCUAGCCAUGCAUAUUCAUGCCCCAGAGCAGUAAACCCAGGUCAGCUGCUCGGAGACAGUGAAUCGAGUUCUUGAAAACUGACCAAGCCCGUG
rnacentral:lncRNA from 1 species